UUGUACAUAGGAUUGACUUAAAUCGAUUUUUCACCAUGAGAUGUAGAUAUCCAAUGACCCAAAUUGAUCAGAAAUCUCUCUCCUUGCAAUCCUACGCAUGAUGCAUCCUCUAACCACGCCCUCCACGCCAUUAACUAAUCCUUCUCUCUGGAGGAUGUCGUCUCUUCCCCAUCGUCGGUCGCCCCCACGCCUCUGCCCGCCGCUUGCCUCCCCCACACCGAUGCCCACCGCCGGCCACACCGAUGCUCCCGGCCAUCGUCGGCUCCCGCCCCCACGCCGUCGGCCGCACCCACGCUCCCAUCCGCAGCCGGCUCCCGCCCCCACGCCGCUGGCCGCCCCCAAAACGAUGCCCGCUGCCGGGGUAAGGAAGCCUACGGCUAUUUGGUUUUAGAGUGCCUCACAAACAACACGCUACUAUCAACGUAAUACUGCACGAUAUCCAACAUAAUGAAUUCAAUGUUUUUGUGCUCAAUAAGAAAUUGGGAGUUAAAAUCACCAUCAAUGGACUGCUAAUUGGGUUUUCAAUAUAAUGGUUAGAGUCGCUCACAAGAAAAUAUACCAUUGUAUUGUUAAUAAAGAUGUCUCCUUUUCUUGUCAUAGUAUUUGAUUUAUUUUAUACACUUGUUUUCCUUCAUCUGAGGUGUCUUUUGUAUUAUAUUAUACAUUGAU